rnacentral:lncRNA from 1 species
CUCGUGUUUACAUAUUUUGACAGGUCGAGUUGUUCUGGGACUAGGAACAAUGACGAAUGAAUACAUGCACCAUGGAAACUGUCAUUUGCAAACUUUUUGAACCUGUGCUGGGCGUUCACAUUGACAUUUCUUGUUCAACAGGAAUACAUGAUGUCGACCAACAGUACAGCUAGAUGAAGAUAUAAAUUUAUUCAAAGAAAUAAUGGGACAAUGAAUGCUAAAAUUGCCAAGAAGAAGAC